rnacentral:lncRNA from 1 species
UUUUUGAGGAGUGUAGAGAGUGACAUCCUUCGAUUGGACUUGGUAAUGGGGUGAGUGAGCCCAGGGAGACAUUGAAAUUGCCAAACUUUGGCAAACACAGUGGGAAACGUCUUAAAGAAUGCAGCCAUACAAAUCCGGAUAUUGGGUGCCUCUGCUGCUACAAAACACACAGUAGGACAAAUGGGAGGCGUGGGGAGACAAAGAUGGCUUGUUCAACAAAGUAUAAGUUAUAUAAUUAGUCCUUUUCCGGAGUUUGGCAAAGGGGACAAGCUGACUGGUUUGUUUUGUCAUCUUUUAAUCUAGAUGGGUCAAGGUGAUGCUGGGCCAAUUAGGGGCAAACACUUGUCACCCACCAUCUACUGUCUCUUCACAUAUCUUUUCUUCUCUAUAUAAGUCCAUGCCUGCAGAUCAUAAUCACCUUCACCACUACGCCAUUCAAAGAUUCAAAGCUCAAGUAGCUUGCGCAUACACAUGGCUCAGCACUUGCCGUUGUGCAUGCCAAAGCUCCGGUCAUGGCGACAGUGUAGACGAUGGUGUUCAAAGCACAUCAGAGAGCAGCGUGGCCGGCUUUAUAUCAUAUGGAGAUGUGUGGUGAUUCUUCUACGUUGGAAUGAAUGAGUCUAGAUGCCGUCGAUGAUGAAACUUGGUGGGUGGAGUAUUCGGCGUUGGGCUGUGGUUUUUGAUAGCUGAGAUGACCAAGUUUUGGGGUUGAGGCAUUUGAAUUUCAAGGGACGGGUGCAAAGCUUGAUGUGUUAGCAUGUCCUGGUAAGACAGGUUGGUCUGGUGUUGAAACAUCAGUGUAUGAUAGAGGUUUACACUUCCCUUUUUCUUUCGUCUUUGUAUGUCAAGAGGUAUAUGUAUCAUGUCUGUCAAUAUAAUACCUCUGUGACUUUAUAUAAAAGGGAGACCUCACCCUUUUUACAGCUUUGUUUGUGUUUGAUCCAAAAUACCCUGCACAUAACCCCAUCUCAGAUGCACUUCUUCCUCUCCAUCGCCAAUCCCUCCGAGUGAAAAAAAAUUGUAUGGCAUAUAUAGCAAGAAGUUAAUUUAUAAAGAAUAUAUAUCAUCUACAGCCCCUGAGAAAGGCUGUGCGAGUAUUUUGUACCUCUUACAUGACAGCCUGCUUGACCUUCUCUUUCUGAAAAAAUUUAUUCUAUUAGACUGAAACAGUAUUACUAUGUUCACAUGUUUUGCCACUAAUUCAUCUUGUACAAUGAAAUAAUAAAAAAAGAAAGCAUAUUAACAUCAUAAUCUGAUCAUACAAUGCUCUUCCCAAAAUGUUGAUAACCUCACUUUCCAAGCCUAAUGGAAACUUACAUUCCAGUCCAAAAUUCUCUUCAUCUCUUGUUCCCAAGAAGGGACUCCCCGGGAUUCCCAUGUAACCUUGCAGAAUUUGAAUCUUCUUCAAUAGACUUCUUUGGAGAUUGCACUUGCUUAGUUUGCCCUCCCUGAGGAAUUGUUGCAAGAGACAACAAAAUAAGCUUCUCUCACUGGGAGAACUUAAUCUAGCAUUGAAAAGGGAAAUAAUAUUUGAUAGUGCAGUAUGUGAAUGCAGCAUGCAACAAAAUCUUUUACAUCCAUUCCCUGUAUAUGUGGUGUGUGUGAAGAAAGCAUCACCAAUUAAUUGCCGGUUCACAAUCUUUCCAAAAUCUUUAUGUAAACAUAUUUGAAUAUAACAGUUAGAAAUGUAAUAGCCAUUAUUUCAUUAUAAAGGCUGUUUUAUUUGUUAAAUUUACCUUCUAAUGCAAACUAUUUAAGAAACAAACCACUGACCAUACUAAUGAUAUUUUCAACCCUGAUUACUUCUGGUGUUCCAUGUUCCUAAAGCAUCUGUUUUUUUUUUUUUUUAAUAACUAGAUUUACCUUCUUAUAGGGCCAAAUGCAAAAUCAGUGUUGACCUGUUUGGUAGGAUUUUAAAGUAUUGAGCAAUCUAGAUAGCAUCCAAUCACAAUCACAACAGAAUGUGCAUUGAAACCUGAUUCUCAAUGGUUAAAUAUUGUUUACUUUAUGCCAGUAUGCUGACAAAUAAGGAAUGCAAAGUGAACCAGGGCAAAAACAAGUAAUAUAUAAUAUUGACUUACAGCUCCCUUGUGGCCAGUUAACCUCCGAAUGGAUGGGGCCCGUGCUAUUGAUGAUGCAGCAGCAGCAGCAGCAACACGUAUUCUGCAAAAACAGUGGAAAAGCCCUUUUAUUUUUUUUGGGCAAUCACCUUACAUUACUACAACUAAACCCUUCUUGAAUCCAACAAUACCUUUUAUGUACAUCAACAAAUUCAUCAGUUUCAUCUACGAUCUCCUCCUGCGUAAGUAAAGAAAAUUAUUACUGUAUGGUUUACUAUAAGAAAAAGGAGAAACUCAAAAAAAUGGAAGUGAGACAUCAAUGGACUCUGGAUUACCUGCAGAAGUUCUUCAAAUACAUCUUCCAGGGUGAUGAUGCCAAUAACUUCACCAUCUUCAAUAUCUUCAGACAACCGUGGCAAUCCAUUUGUUGCUGCAUCACUAUGUUGAGAUUGCCUGUUUAUAAUGGUUGGCCUUGAAGCCUUCUCAAUGUCAACAACAAUGCUUUCCAACUUUUCAUCCUGCUUGGAUAGCAAAGGAGUAGUUAACUGGGAAUCUGCACCUGUGAUUUUGUUUUCUUCAGUUAUUUUUCCAUCCAUGACCUGUGGAGCAUUUUUGUUUCUCCCUUUAGGUUUCACCACAGCUGCCAUAUGACUGCUACCCUUCUGAAACUCGUUCAAUAUGUCAUAUAGAGGCAUAUCUGCCGGCACCCUGAGGAAACAUCCCGCAAAUGGACACUUCACAUCCCAUGCUUAUGUUCUAGAAAUAGCAUAUAAGUGCAUAUUUAAAGUGAAGUGAGCACACCUUGGAAUUCUCCUGAUCGAAACAGCACUAACCGGGGUCUCUGUCUCAGCUCUUACAGUGAGAAGACUUUUCACCUAAUUCCAACCAGUGAUUGAGAAGGAUAAGAACCAGCAAAGAGAAAAGCCACCCCUUUAUAAGGUCAGCUCAAAUCCAACCAAAAGUACAUUCAACACAUGAAACUUAGUUGAAAGCUUUAAGCUCCACUACUUACCAGUAAAAGUCCAAUAACAUUUUUUGGAUUACCAGAAUAGACAGGAACUCUACUAUGACCACGAGCAAGAAUCUUCCCCAUUGCUUCCCUGAUUUAUUGAGAAAAAAGUUAAAGAAAACAUAUUGGAUAUGAUAUAUACUUUUGUUCCAUAAUUUCUAGUCAGAAUAACAAUAAAAUGGAAAACAGGUGGUGAUCAUUGAAAUUUCAGGCAUCCAAUAGAUACAAAGCCUUUAUCUUCAAGGUGGGGAAUGGUUACAACUAUUGACACAUACACUAACUAUUGGGCAGUUGCAUCUUUUGAGAUAUGUUAAAAGAAAUUUAGACAUUUUUUCAUUGCAUUCCCAAAACCCAUUCAUUUCUAGGCCAAGCACAACAAAGUGCAGAAUGAAAUAAACAAAUAAACAACCUUGACUAUGACACAAGUGUAGCCUAUUCUUUGAUGAGUAUACAAGUCCAAUUGUGCAAGUUUUAGAGCAACAUGCCAUAAAUAUGGUUGCCACCUUUUAGACCAUCCAGGCAUCAAAACUCAAGCUCAUCAAUGUGACACUCUUAUUGAUAUAUGUAGUUAUUUGUCUAGAUCACUUUGACAUUAUUACAGUAUGCAUAAGCACCAUUUAUGCACAAAUAAUUGACAAUUGUGAUUCAGGUGUCUGCCUGAAUAUAUAUACUUUUCAUCAUCAUAAUAGUGAAUUCCUGUAUGAUGUGAUCCAUGAGGUGUUCAAUGUUUUAGUUAAGUGCUAUAACAAUGUUUGCAACCACUGAAGCCCUGUAACCCAGGCUGUGCCAGAUAGUCAUGACUAAUGCUUUUGUCAACCAGUGAACUAAAACCCACACAUAAAACUACAUCCUAGCCCUUGCUUUUUUUUUUUCUUCAUUUUUUUUAAUAAGAUCCUGGCCAUUACAUUUUUGAGGGAUGACAAAACAGGGACUGACCAAUUACAAAUGGUUGCUAUCUGGAUUGUUUUGCAAAAAUGGAGGAAGAGGUAUAGUUGCCAUUGGGCUAUACUCCACAAAUUUUGGGAGCUGAACUAUAGAUGAGAUGAUUCUAGUGUUGAUAACAUAUUAAUUGAUUCCAUAUAUACAGAACUGAUUUUAAACCAGGGCUUCUACAUACAUGUGCCAUGUGUGUAUACCAAUUAAGUGACUAAUUCCAUCAACGCCUUACCCCAACCCUGCUCAUUAGUGGAGGCAACUAGGCCCAGGAAGACACAUGCCCCUCCCAAAAAAAUAAAGUCAAACAUUGAUUGUGGAUAGAUUGAACCCUUGACCUCUUUUGAGAAGGCAAAAUACACUUACUAAUAGACUAAAUUUUGCAUUUUAGUUACAUCCUCCACCCCUUCCCCUAAGAUAAAUUCCUUAUUCUUUAUGCCCCACAACUGCCGAUGUUACUUAAGGAGAAAGGAGGACAGUUUUAGGGUGGAUAACCAGACUCAUUUUAGAAAAAAGGAAAGGGGAGGGAAGAAAUCAGCAGGCCCUUAUGAACUUUAAAAUUAAUUUUGUUAGCCACUUCCAGAAAUAAAAAAUUGAAAAAAAAACAUAAAAUAAAAUAAUAUUAACUUAGGUUUCCAAUUUGGUCUCAACUUAAACAACAGAUAUGGUCCCUGGUUAAGCAGAACAGAAAAAAGGAUUCAUGUAGCCACUAUAUCUAUGUGUUUGCACUGUGUAUUGAGAAUUUUGGUUUCAAAGUUUACAUGGCCUUGGCUUAAACAAUAGAUAUGGCUCCUGGAUAGCAGAAUUGCAAAAAGGAUCCAUGUAGCCAACAUGUCUCUGGUAGUUAUAAGGAUCUUUGCAAUAUUAUCCCAACUGUUUGAGAUUCAAGAUUAUUCCUUUCAAUUACAUAUGCUAUUGACAGGAUCAUAUAAGUGUCUGCAGUAGUAGGUUAAUCAGGGUCCUAAUCCUAAGAGCUUAACAGACCAAAAACCAGUAGAACAAAAGCAAGACAAAUUGACAAAGGCAAAAAGCAUACCAGCAACAAAAGUUUAGUUAGGACUUACCAGUCCAAUUUUGAAUUGACAUCCAAGGAAAAUGUUGACUCAAUUGGUGUCAUAGCUUCCUCAGCAGUCUGCUCGCCAAAGAAAAGGACGUUAGGAUGCUGAUUGCAAGUGUAUCAGUUGUCUCAAUAUUUUAAGACUGAAGUCAGAAGUGAGGAUUAAAUGCAAAGGUAAGCCAUUUUGGAUCGAGGUGCAUAGUGGGACCAGUUCUGAAGCAAUAUCCACAACUUAAUUUGAAUUAACAAUAAAAUUCUGAUGGGAAAACUUAAUUCACUAUCCCAAAAAUUCUCCCACCCUUGGCUAAGGGGAAAAAAAUGUUCAUAAAAUGCAUAUCAUACAGUUAAACUUUCCAUCAUGAAAAAGAUGAAGAAUCAUGACUUGCACAAAGAAAGGGAUUAACUAGUAUUUACAUGUACCAAAAACAACAGAACCACCACUUGCAUAUUUCAACCACUAUCUAUGGGCAAAGUGCAAGUUUAAGAACAAGGAUGAACAGACGAGUAUGCAACAUCUUUCAUAAUUUCAUCUGCAUUUCCAAGUGUUUAUUUUCUAUAAAUAAAUGGCUGCACCGUCAGAAGUGUUGCAAUGAUGUUUGGACAAGCAAUCAAACAAUAAACCAACAGCAUCUGACAUGAAAAUUUAAUCUCAUUCCUACCUUCUCAGUCAAAUCGAGAGCCCCACUUAUAAUUGUUGUCUCAUCAUGUGUGAGUUCACCUCCCUUGCCAGCCUAGAGAUAAUGAUUGUGGCACGUUAUGAUAUGACAUGACAUGAUAUGAUAUGAUAUAUAUAUAUAUAUAUAUAUAUAUAUAUAUAUAUAUAUAUAUAUAUAUAUAUAUAUAUGAAAUGCUGGAAACAAAUUCCAGAAUUUAAUUUACCUCUUGGCCAUGGAUGGAGACAAGUGCUUUCAAUUGAGCCCGUCUAAAUAAUGCUUCAUUAUGACCAAGUACCCAGUCUAGAAUCUGGAGUCAAAUCAUAAUACUCAAUUUAUAGCUACUGCAAAUUCUCAGUGUUAGCCAGUAAGAUAUCAUGCUAAACAAUAUAAAAAAUUGAGUUGGUAAAGAAAACCUCAAAUUAGUAACAAGAUGUUAACAGGUGUGAAACCUUUUGGUUUUAUAUUUUUCCAGGAAUAAAUAAAGGAAGCUAAAAUUAGGUAAAGGCUUCACUCUGCAACAACCAGGUUUACAUAGGUGAAUAUAGGUACAGGGACAAAAGAUAAAUCAAUAGGCAAGAAAGAGGUCUGGAAGGCCAUUUAUUUUCACAGGUAGAGAGGAAAAGCAUGCAUUUCUUCAAAAUGUGAUUUAACAUUGAGCGUAAGUGCAGCCCUCCACCAUUACUGUUUUUAUUUAAUAACAAUAAUUCCAAUGGUUGUAGCUGUCAAACUUAAUCAAAAUCCAGAAUUUCUAUAUAUUUAAGGCAGGAAAGCAUGGGAGAGAAUUAAGAAGCAUCAAAUAUACAAAUAAAGCAAAGCACCAACAAAAUAUCCAUUAUAAAAGUGAGAAAACUAUCAAUAUCUUAAGUAUGUGCAACAGAGGCUCAUCCAACCAUUUGUUGAUAGCACAAAACCUUUUACUCUAUUCAGAUUUACACAUGUUAGCUCCUAAUUCAUGUCAUUCUCAUCUCAUCUUUGCCUCUUAAUAUUCAUGAUUUGCAAUCAUUUUUAAUCUUGUAAUUUCUUGUCUUGCCACUGAUCCAUCUCAACAACCAUUUCAAGCUACACAAAUUUUAUGGGCAAGUUGUUUCUUGACCAUCCAACAUUUCCUACUAUGGAACAUGAUUAUAAUCCUUGUAGUUGCCUUAUAAAAUUAUCCCCUCAUAUGAUAUGUAGGAGCAAUUUGACCCUACAACUCCCCAAACCACCUCACAAGUUCACUUAUCCUUCUCUAAUAUGGACAACCUCCUCUUCCAUCACCCACUAUUUGACAAUGAUUGACCCAAGAAAACAAAAACGGUCUACUAAAUGAACUAUAAGGAAGUGGAGCUUUUCUAAGCAAUCUUGAUAAACAAACUCAGGUUCAUAAAAAGUUACUGAAAUCUCAACAAAGUAUAGUGAAAAUUACCUUCCCAAUUGGAUAAGCAAUUGGAUAGCAAAUUAUCAUUAAAAUACGGACAAGCCAUACAAAAUUUGCACCUACAGAAAGUCCAUAUCUGCUGCAUAUUGCUUGUGGAAUAACCUGAUAAAGCAAUGGUAAAGGAAGGAUCAAACUCCAUUUAACUUAAAGCCAAGAUAUGGAAGUGUAGAACUUAUCCAAAAAAGAAAAAAAAAAAGAUAUGGAAGUGUAAAACUGCAAUGUACCUCUCCAAAAGCUAGGACAAAAGUAACAGAAAGCACAAUAGCAACAAACUGAUUGAAAAGCUUAUCCAGGUAUAAUGGGAGGGCCUGCAGGCAGCACAUGGGUAAAGCAGUCUGCUAUCAGUAAAACUCAAGCUUAUGUCAGAAUGUUCUAAGUUCUAACAGAAAGCAAAUACCAGUUCAGAAAUCAAUAUAAAAUAAAUAUCAGCUAAAGCUAACAGUGGGUAUAUUAGCACUAUGCAUUUAAUGUCUGUGACUUGGCCCCUUAUAACUCAUUUAAUAAAUAUGCUGCCUUCAAACAAUAUCAGAUCUAGAUGAACACUUCAGCUUUCGCUAUUUUCUCGCUCUACUUUCUUUCUUAAAAACUUCUAUUGCACAACGUAACAUGUUUGGUUCUCAUUUAAUUUGUUUUUUUUUUUCUGUCUCCAACCUGUAUGGCAGGAUUAACACAUAAUAUUCUUUUCACUGGG